UCCAGCAGCCUUAUCACCCUGCAACUCACAACUGGCAACCCACUGAAACUGAACAGGUGUGAGCCUGGUCAGUACCUGGAUGGGAGACCUCCUGGGAAAAACUAAGGGUGCUGUUGGAA
rnacentral:rRNA from 1 species